ensembl:lncRNA
UACCUAUGAUGUGUUCUGAGUGCCACUGAGGUGAAUUUCUUCUUAUCAGCUGCCAUCCUGGGAUAGCACAAAAUAGUGAGAUCAAAACUGAAAACGUGUCUCAGUAUCUUUUUUUUGUGUUUGGUGAUAAUGUGGCUUUGGCAAGAAGGAAAGACUUCUAUGCUAUGUCCUCCUAGGUGUCUUAGGGCAUAACUGGCUAGACCGUGUAGGGAUGGGGUUAGGAAGGCUAAGGCCCAACUGAAACUAGGCUUGGUAAGGGGUACAAAAAAGAACAAGAAAGGCUUCUACAGGUACAUCAACCAGAAAAUAAAGUCCAAGAAGGAGUGCCCUUGCUAGUGAGCAACAGAGGCAGGCCGGUAAUAAUGGAGAGAGUUGGGGCUGUUCAGCCUGGAGAAGAGAAGGCUACAGUGAGACCCAAGAGUAGCCUUUCAGUUUCCAAAAGGGGACGAUUACAAGAAAGAAGGGGACAGAAUCUUUGGCAGGGUCUGCUGUGAUAGGGUGAGAGGAAAUGAUUUCAAACUAGAACUGGUGAGACUUAGACUGGAUAAUAAGGAAGAAGUCUUUUAUGGUAAGAGUAGUGAAGCACUGAAGUAGGUUGUCCAGAGAGGUGGUGUAUAGCCUGACCUUCAAGGUCAGGCUGGACAGGGCUCUGAGCAUUUGACCUACCUGUAGGUGUUCCUGUUCACUGCAGAGGAGUUGGAUCAGAUAGCCUUUAAAGACCCUUCCAACUCAAGCAAUUAUAUUACUCUAUGAACUGUGUUCUCUUAAUCAAGUUGUGAGGUUUGGUAUUGUCCUAAGAAGCUUAAUAUUAUUGAGCGUGUCUCUGUAAGUAAGCGUGGGGUUAAACUAGACUAUAAUGCAGAUCCAAGGUAAGAACUGUUUAAGAAGCAGUAGCUAUAUGGAUAUGGCUACAGUGAAUUUCUUUGCAAGAAGUCCUGCACAUGGAAAUCUCCAUGAAUUCAAAGAAGGGUUAGACUGUCUUUUCAAGGAGUCAGGGAAACUGCUGGCUGGAAAGAUGAAUGUGUUUCACACUGAACAGCGAUGCAAGAGACAUGACUCUUCAGCCAUUGCUCAAGCAACGUGGACCAAUGCCUGUUCUUUACCGUGACAUUCUAUGGUGCCAUGUUCACACAACAGGAGCACUGCUGACGUUUCUACUGGCUGUAUGCUCUUGGAGACACAGAAACCUUUUCCCAGUAGCUGCCUGUCUCACUCUGCAACCAGAAUUCAAGACAAGCCAGUUUAACUACUAAUUUCCAUAGGAACAAGUUUUCAAAGGGUACAAACAUCUCACUCUUGCUGCUAACAGUUUGUACCUGAUUUUGAAGCAGUUUUGUUUACCCUGUUAUUUUUCUUUUAGUUUCAGUUCUAAGUGGUCCAGAGGUGGAAGUGCUUUGCUAAGACUUUGUACAGUGCUUUGCAGCCAGGAUCUUUCAUGAUACAUCAUACAUCUAUUACUGUAAAUAAUAGAAUAAUAUUAAUUGCUUAGUGUAGCAUGGACUCACAUACAUAGGUCUAGCUGUAAGCAAAUACGUUGAGUAAUUAAGGGGCUUUAUGGAGCUGUAUAAUUCCAGGGAUGCCUGUCACACCCAUUCACUUCAAGAGAAGAAAAUACCUAUGUGUUUUAUUAGAAAUAAAAUCUGCAUUUGUUGGCUUGGCCAUAAUUAUGCCACAGUGGCCAGUGCAGAUAUCCAUGUUGUACUGCCCAGAACCACUGCUUAAACUGUAUGUUACAAACACAACUAGAAUCAUAGAACCAUAGAAUGGCCUGGGUUGGAAGGGGACUCAAAGAUCAUCUAGUUCCAACCUCCUGCCAUGGGCAGGGUUGCCAACCACUAAAUUGGGCAUUAGAUCAGGUUGUCCAGGGCUCCAUCCUAUCUGGCCUCAAACGCCUCCAGGGAUGAGGACUACCAGAAUCCAACAAGCGCUGGCAUCUCACCAUUUUCUCUUCCUCCCACAGUGCAGCUUUCCCCUUAACGUAUCACUUUUUUUAUUAUUUGCCACCAAACUAAACCCAGUGCUGGCCUAGUAACAACUGGGACUGGCCAGCUGGGGGAGUGCGGGGCUAAAUAUAUUCCCUGAGCAUGCUGAAGACGUGGGAAGAAACAGCAAAGCACCAGAUACCUGAAAAGCCAGCUGAUUGAUACAGAAGAAUCAGAAAGUAGUUGAAGAAGUUAUCCAGCUGUUUCUGGUGAUCAAGAGCCAGCUUCUCUACAGUAGUGUUUGUGGACCUUAUGGUGAAUAUAUCUAUGAAAAUACCAUGAGGUACCUAUAUAGGUGUGGGCAGAGAUGCUCUGAUGGUAUGAGCAGAACACCAUAUAGGGAAAUCUGACACAAGGAAGCGGCAACAGUUGGACACCAAAGCAACCUGAGUGUCCGUGGCAGGGAUUUUUGUGGUGGUGGUGCUCAUUCUGUGGACCUGGGGUGGGCAUCCACUUCCCUAUGCAAACACACAAGGAGUCGGACACCAGCAGCCUGGAUCCAGUAAUAAAAGCUGAUGAAAUCAGGUUUAAGGUGGAACUGAGUCAAAAAUGGCAAUUUACAGAGGCCUAAAUUCCCAUGGUUCUUUACAGUAAGGUUGUUUCCAUUGCCUAGAGGUUGCCUCCUCGGAUCCAGAGCUGUCCUCAUCUGAGCAGCUCAGCACUAGUUUCCUACCUGGGUCUCUUUUGUUCACUUACUAAACCAUUUUUACCUCUUUACAGCCCAGCAGAAUUUCCUUGAGUUAUGGUGAUAGAUUAUGAUAAUAUAAUAUAAUAUGAAUGUACUUUUUGGAGAGUGUGGUUCCUAUAUGUGAGAACGCUAUUCCACAACCUAAGAAAAAAGGAGGCAAAUUCAUUGCGGUGGUGUCAGCCAGAAGAAGAAAAAGGAAGAAAGAAGAAGGAAGUGGAAGAAAGGAGAAAGAAGAAGAAAGAAUU